AUUGAACGCUGGCGGCAGGCCUAACACAUGCAAGUCGAACGGUAGCACAGAGAGCUUGCUCUCGGGUGACGAGUGGCGGACGGGUGAGUAACGUCUGGGAAACUGCCCGAUGGAGGGGGAUAACUACUGGAAACGGCAGCUAAUACCGCAUAACGUCGCAAGACCAAAGUGGGGGACCUUCGGGCCUCACACCAUCGGAGGUGCCCAGAUGGGAUUAGCUAGUAGGUGGGGUAAUGGCUCACCUAGGAGACGAUCCCUAGCUGGUCUGAGAGGAUGACCAGCCACACUGGAACUGAGACACGGUCCAGACUCCUACGGGAGGCAGCAGUGGGGAAUAUUGCACAAUGGGCGCAAGCCUGAUGCAGCCAUGCCGCGUGUAUGAAGAAGGCCUUCGGGUUGUAAAGUACUUUCAGCGGGGAGGAAGGCGGUGAAGUUAAUAACUUCACCGAUUGACGUUACCCGCAGAAGAAGCACCGGCUAACUCCGUGCCAGCAGCCGCCGUAA
rnacentral:rRNA from 1 species